rnacentral:lncRNA from 1 species
CUACCUUGUGUGUAGCCCCAUCAGUGUUCGAUUCUCACUAUCAGCAGUCCUCGUGGGUGUGCGAUACCUACAUAAAUCUAUACUGGCGGCAGCUGACAGUUGGGUGUCAUGUGUAAGUCCUUCCAGCUCGAGAUUGUAGAUUUGUCCUAGCGCUGGUGGUGAUAGUAGUCAAUCUCCUCUUAAACUUUGCUCAUAAAAUAUAUAUAUAUAUAUAUAUAUUACUCAUACAAAAAGGAGACAAACUCAUUGGACAUUGCUAGCCUGGAAGGUAAAGCUUUUACUCCACGGCUCCACCUUCAACGAAACCUAUCCUCGGGUGUUUCAGGUUCUUG